rnacentral:rRNA from 1 species
AUUGAACGCUGGCGGCAGGCCUAACACAUGCAAGUCGAGCGUGCGGCGGACGGGUGAGUAAUGUCGGGGAAACUGCCUGAUGGAGGGGGAUAACUACUGGAAACGGUAGCUAAUACCGCAUACCAUCAGAUGUGCCCAGAUGGGAUUAGCUAGUAGGUGGGGUAAUGGAGACCCUAGGCCACGCUCCCUAGCUGAUCUGAGAGGAUGACCAGCCACACUGGAACGGAGACACGGUCCAGACUACUACGGGAGGCAGCAGUGGGGAAUAUUGCACAAGGGGCGCAAGCCUGAUGCAGUCAUGCCGCGUGUGUGAAGAAGGCCUGCGGGUUGUAGAGCACUUUCAGCGUGGAAGCGUUACCCGCAGAGGAAGGACCGGCUAACUCCGUGCCAGCAGCCGCGGUAAUUC